AGUGAACGCUGGCGGUAGGCCUAACACAUGCAAGUCGAACGGCAGCACAGUAAGAGCUUGCUCUUACGGGUGGCGAGUGGCGGACGGGUGAGGAAUACAUCGGAAUCUACUUUUUCGUGGGGGAUAACGUAGGGAAACUUACGCUAAUACAGCAUACGACCUACGGGUGAAAGCAGGGGAUCUUCGGACCUUGCGCGAAUGAAUGAGCCGAUGUCGGAUUAGCUAGUUGGCGGGGUAAAGGCCCAGCAAGGCGACGAUCCGUAGCUGGUCUGGGAGGAUGAUAGGCCACACUAGAACUUAGACACGGUCCAGACUCCUACGGGAGGCAGCAGUGGGGAAUAUUGGACAAUGGGCGCAAGCCUGAUCCAGCCAUACCGCGUGGGUGAAGAAGGCCUUCGGGUUGUAAAGCCCUUUUGUUGGGAAAGAAAAGCAGCAGGUUAAUACCCCGCUGUUCUGACGGUACCCAAAGAAUAAGCACCGGCUAACUUCGUG
rnacentral:rRNA from 1 species